rnacentral:lncRNA from 1 species
AGUUGUGCUCAUGAAUAUAAAUUGUAUAUGAAUUAUAAUCAAUAAAUAUUAUUUAGUUUUUUUAUUACUGUGUACAUCUUUUUGUGGAACUCCUAUAUUGUGAUGAAGUCCUUAGGACGAUAGUGAUUAUCAGGUGUAUAACGAUUAUCAAGUAUAGGUCGUUGUAUGCCAUAUAGAUUGGUUAUCCUUUUAACCAAAGAGUGUGAAGACAUUGGUAUGGCAUGUAGGUG